rnacentral:rRNA from 1 species
UGGGGAAUAUUGCACAAUGGGCGCAAGCCUGAUGCAGCCAUGCCGCGUGUAUGAAGAAGGCCUUCGGGUUGUAAAGUACUUUCAGCGGGGAGGAAGGGAGUAAAGUUAAUACCUUUGCUCAUCGACGUUACCCGCAGAAGAAGCACCGGCUAACUCCGUGCCAGCAGCCGCGGUAAUACGGAGGGUGCAAGCGUUAAUCGGAAUUACUGGGCGUAAAGCGCACGCAGGCGGUUUGUUAAGUCAGAGGUGAAAUCCCCGGGCUCAACCUGGGAACUGCAUCUGAUACUGGCAAGCUGGAGUCUCGUAGAGGGGGGUAGAAUUCCAGGUGUAGCGGUGAAAUGCGUAGAGAUCUGGAGGAAUACCGGUGGCGAAGGCGGCCCCCUGGACGAAGACUGACGCUCAGGUGCGAAAGCGUGGGGAGCAAACAGG